CCUAGUUGUGAAAGACUGAGCACCACAGGACAUCCCAGUCAAUAAGGUAAACACAUCAUGUACUGGAACACCAGGUAGUCCCUCGGCACAUUAUGUACUGGAACACCAGGUAGUCCCUCGGCACAUCAUGUACUGGAACACCAGGUAGUCCCUCGGCACAUCAUGUACUGGAACACCAGGUAGUCCCUCGGCACAUCAUGUACUGGAACACCAGGUAGUCCCUCGGCACAUCAUGUACUGGAACACCAGGUAGUCCCUCGGCACAUCAUGUACUGGAACACCAGGUAGUCCCUCGGCACAUCAUGUACUGGAACACCAGGUAGUCCCUCGGCACAUCAUGUACUGGAACACCAGGUAGUCCCUCGGCACAUCAUGUACUGGAACACCAGGUAGUCCCUCAACACAUAUAUAUGUAUUCACUACACAGAGAAUAAUGAAUCUAUGCUGCAAUCAGCCUGGGGUGUAGAAAGGUUCUGUGUAUACUGACUGGCAACGCACAAGGACUAUAGCACAGGCUGAUUGCAGCAUCGUUGUUCUCUGUGUCCCAGAGGAGGAUGCCCAGGGAGGAUGCCUGUCCAUGGGCAGAGAUGGGCACCUUUCUGAGCAUGGAUAUGCGGGAAGGGUAGCACAUUCAGUGAUGGUGGUGAACUUCUGACAGCUUAAGAAUGGGUAUUCCUCAUCCUUUAAAUGUGGUUAGCUAAGCAGUGGGUGUGGUGGUGUAGAUGGUAGUGGUGUAGAUGGUGGUGGUGGUGUAAAUUGUGGUGGUGGUGUAGAUUGUGGUGUAGAUGGAUGGUGGUGGUGGUGUGGAUGGUGGUGGUGGUAUAAAUUGUGGUGGUGGUGUAGAUGGUGGUGUAGAUGGAUGGUGGUGGUGGUAUAAAUUGUGGUGGUGGUGUAGAUGCUGGUGGUGGUGGUGAUGGUGUAGAUGGUGGUGUAAAUUAUGAUGAUGGUGUAUAUGGUGUUGGCGUUGUAGAUUGUGGUGGCGUUGAAGAUGGAGGUGUAGAUUGUGAUGUAGAUGGUGGUGGUGUAGAUGUGGUGGUGGAGAAGGUGGUGGUUGUGUAGAUGGUGGUGGUGUAGAUGGUGGUGUAUGUGGUGGUGGUGUAGAUGGUACUGGUGGCGGUGAAGAAGGUGGUGGUGGUGUAGAUGGUGGUGGUGUAGAUCAUGGUGUAGGUGGUGGUGGUGUAGAUGGUACUGGUGGCGGUGAAGAAGGUGGUGGUGGUGUAGAUGGUGGUGGUGUAAAUUGUGGUGGUGGUGUAGAUGCUGAUGGUGUAGAUGCUGGUGGUGGUGGUGUAGAUGGUGGUGUAAAUUAUGAUGGUGGUGUAGAUGGUGGUGGCAUUGUAGAUGUGGUGGUGGUGUAGAUGGUGUAGAUGGUGGUGGUGUAGAUGGUACUGGCGGUGGUGUAGAGGGUGGUGGUGGUGUAGAUGGUCGUGAAGAUUGUGGUGGUGUAUUUGGUGGUGGUGUUGUAGAUGUUGGUGAUGGUGAUGGUGGUGGUGGUGUAGAUGGUGGUGGUCUAGAUGGUGGUGUGUAGAUUGUGGUGUUGUAGAUGGUGGUAGUUGUGGUGUAGAUGGUGGUGGUGGUGGUGGUGUAGAUGGUGGUGUAAAUUAUGAUGGUGGUGUAGAUGGUGGUGGCAUUGUAGAUGGUCGUGAAGAUUGUGGUGGUGUAUUUGGUGGUGGUGUAGAUGUUGUAGUGGUGUAGAUGGUGGUGGUGUAGAUGGUGGUAGUUGUGGUGUAGAUGGUGGUAUAGAUAGUGGUGUUGGUGUAGAUGGUGGCGGUGGUGUAAAUGGUGGUGGUAUAGAUGGUGGUGGUGGUGUAGAUGGUGGUGUAGAUGCUGGUAGUGGUGGUGUAGAUAGUAUUGGUGGUGUAGAUGGAGGUGGUAGUGGUGUCGAUAGUGGUGGUGCUGGUGUAGGUGGUGGCGGAGAUGGUAGUGGUGUAGAUAAUGGUGGUGCUGUAGUUGGUGGUGUAGAUGUGGGUAGUGCUUAAGAUGGUAGUGAAGAUUGUGGUGGUGUAUUUGUUGUAGUCUAGAUGUUUGUGGUGGUGUAGAUAGUGGUGGAGAUAUAGAUGGUUGUGGUGUUGUAGAUGGUGUUGGUGGUGAUGGUUUAGAAUGUGGUGGUGGUGGUCUAUUUGGUGGUGGUGUUGUAAAUGGUGGUGAUGGUGUAGAUUUUAUUUUUUUAUUUUACCUUUAUUUAACCAGGCAAGUCAGUUAAGAACACAUUCUUAUUUUCAAUGACUG